UGUGCUGAUAAGGUUUUCAAUAUUUUUAUUUUUUCUUCCAAGGCUGAAGACCGAAGACAAAAAGACUGAAGAAAAAAAAAUUCAGACUGCAAGUAAUUUCAGGUGGAGACAGUAAACACAGAUCUACCAAGGGUCAGUGGCACAGUUCACCUUUUAUGGAGGCGCCUGAUAUCAACGUGAAACGCACUGCAGUACUUUGUGCCCUUCUUGUAUACCUGUGGGAGGAGGACCCAGAAUUCUUUAAGACAUGUAAUGAGGACGCAUUGGAUGAGUCGACCCUCAUUGACACUCCAGUUGCCCUUCUCACAGUGGUUAAGGACAGCGCUUCCCAGUCCAGUCCAUUUUACUUCCUCAAGCAUGGCUGUUGUGGUGAAAGGCGACUAGGUGAUGCGUGAUAUUCCCAGAUUUGCAGAUGCAUUUGCUUUAUUGUUUGGCUUGAUCUAUGCUCUGCAUUUAGACUACCCCAGGAAGCUCGUUCACACAUUUACCUUUGUCCAAAAUAUCUUCAUGGGGCUUGAUGAC